rnacentral:rRNA from 1 species
UACGGGGGGGGCAAGCGUUGUUCGGAAUUACUGGGCGUAAAGGGCUCGUAGGCGGCCAACUAAGUCGGAUGUGAAAUCCCCAGGCUUAACCUGGGAACUGCAUCCGAUACUGGAUGGCUUGAAUCCGGGAGAGGGAUGCAGAAUUCCAGGUGUAGCGGUGAAAUGCGUAGAUAUCGAGAGGAACACCAGUGGCGAAGGCGAGUCCCUGGACAACACCUGACACUGAGGCACGAAAGCUAGGGGAGCAAACAGG